AGAACUAAGUACAUAUAAUUUGGUUUAAUUUGGUCUCUUGGUCAAUUGAUGCACUACCAGCUAAAGUGAAAAAUGUAACUAAAUAUGUUCACUAAUGUAAAUUGAGUUAAAUACUAUUUCAAGAUCUACAGAUUUGAAAAGAAAGAGAACUAAGGUUGAUGAUCAAUUAGAAAAAGGAAAAGGAAAAGGAAGAAAAAGAAAAAGGGAUGAUAAUAAUAAUAAUAAUGAAGAUGGUGAUUAUGGUGAUCUUCUUGUUUUGUCCUUAGGAACAGGAGCUAAAAAGGAAGAAGGGAAAUACAAUACUGAGAUUACCCAACUCAUCUGGUGGCUUUGCGGAAUAUACAAAGGAAUGCUUUAAAGGCUUAUGAAAAACUAGAAAAGG